AUUACUUGUUCCAUAUAUGACCUAUUGCGUUGAGGUUUGGAGAAACACAUAUAAAACUACUACAAAUCCAAUAUUGUUAUUACAAAAGAAAGCUAUAAGAGUUAUCAGUAAUAAACCAUAUUGUGAACCAACAAACUCUUU